GAAGGAUAGCAUGACUGCAGAGGACAUUAGAUGUGUGAAUUCCAUUAAUAUUGCGCACAGAAAGUCCAGGGAUCAGUUAGCUAAGACGGGGAAGACGAAGGCAGGCCAUGAGUACCAGAAAUGGAAAUGGAACUAAGUCUCAACUUAUGAGUAUAUUACUACAAAUCAAUGUCAGUAAGACCGAAAAGAACCUAAAUUGACAUCAUUGGAUCAGUCUCAAUUAACAUAAUUUCAUCAUAUAUCAACCAUAACAAUUU